CCCUACUCACAACCUGAUAAUAAUUCCAGCAUUUCAGGAGCCUCCUUCCCUCAGUGUCCCACUGCUUAAAUAUUUACGCACACCAUCCGCCAGCCGUUCUUGUCAGGGUAAGAUCUCGGCUGGUUUGCUAUGUUACAGAGUGGGAGGGAAAGCAGGUUGCGUUUUAACCAGGGGGCAAAUGGACAGGUUUUAGAAAUGCUGAACCAUCAAAAAGAAGCAGAUCAAACUUUUAUUUCACUUGGCAGGUGGUGGUGGGGGAGAGACAACAAUGUGGACAACUUUAGCCACACCUGAACCACUUUAGCUUCACCUUUUUGCGCUUUUUGUGCUUUGUUUCUCAGUAGUCAAACCAUUAGCAGUCUCUCCAUCCUGGCAUGUUCUGAUUUAAGCAGAUCAGGCUUAGUGUGCUAAUAGAUGAAUCAAGGUCUUGGAGGGCGCAAGAACAAAGCUACUUGGCAGUUCAGGUUUAGCAAAAUAUCAGUGUUUUAUUUGGAAAUGGGCAGAUUUUUUGCUUGCCCGGGCCCAGUUGUGAUCUGAUGCCUCAGGUUCUAACAAAGCGUAUUUUAAUUGCAAUGAACAGAUUGUUCAGUGCUUCUGGCUGAUCUAGCAUGUCAUUUACAUUACUAGCCAGUAAAUUUGUUUUCAAAAACUCAAUUAAAAUGAAACUGGAACAGUCCACAGAUCAUAGUUCAAAGCAGCAGGGGGAAGGGAGAUGUCAACCUUACAAUGCCGAGUCUCCCACUUAAAUUCGGAAAAUUGGCAAGUGGUCUUCUCUAAAUCACAUAAAUAGAUGCAGUCUCCUUUUCAUGUCUAUAUUAGAUAAACAGGGCAGAUUCAAGGUUUGUUUGGAAACAAUGGUGCUCAAAAGCAACUAACUAGAAUUAGCACCAAUAUGCUUUUGCAUCAUUUCUCAGUUUUCACACCAGAUAUAUACACUAGCACAUGGGUAGGUAAACUAAGGCCCGGGGGCUGGAUCCGGCCCAAUCACCUUCUAAAUCUGGCCCAUGGACAGUCCAGGAAUCAGUGUGUUUUUACAUGAGUAGAAUGUGGGCUUUUAUUUAAAAUGCACCUCUGGGUUAUUUGUGGAGCAUAGGAAUUCGUUCAUAUUUUUUUCCAAAAUAUAGUCCGACCCCCCCAUAUCGUCUGAGGGACGGUGGACCGACACAGGGCUGAAAAAGUUUGCUGACUAGCAAACCUCAGAGGGGGUGAGUGGGAUGCUUUGAUAUAACUAGCAAUGUCUGUUUAUGAUACCCAGAACGGGCUAGGAUGGAAAAAUGAUGUAGCUGAGAUAAUCCAUUAAGAAGUUUUAGAAAUUGCUAGACUAAGGUAUAUGAGGAUGACACAAAUCCCUAAACUCCAUUUAAGGUAUGAAUGAGUCAUGCUAUAGUUUUUUAUUUCAGACACACACACAUGGAAAGGCAUGCCUUUCUGAGUAAAAAGCUGCCAUUCAGCAGAAAGAAAGUUGAUGACAGGUACUACCUGCAGGACUCCAACGUUUCGCUGCACAUGAGUGAGAAGAUAUUUAGAUAUGAUAAUCUGAUGAUCAUGCAGGCGGAUGCCCACAUUGGUACCAUGCUGUGUCAGCACUUUAUAGUUUCUGCAAGCCUCUUUUACAUCUACAGGUGGAUAUCACAGUGUCCCAUUUCCUUCUUCUCAAUCCAAACCAUCACCAUGAAAAACUGAUAGCUAAAAGCAGAGAUCAGGCAUGGUGAAAUGGGGACUUCUGCAACUGCCCAUUCUUCAUAUGCUCACCUGGGAGAUACUGAUCACAUUCACACCAUGCAUUUAAAGCCCUAUGAUACAACAGCCAUGGCUUCCCCCAAAGAAUUCUGGGAGCUGUCUUUUGUGAAGGGUGCUUAGAGUUGUUAGGAGAACCCUAAUCUCCAAGAGUUCCAUUUGAAGAGGGUUUGAAUGUUAAACCACUCUGGGAACUAUAGCUCUGUGAUGGGAAUAGCAGUCUCCUAACAACUCUUAUUUCUGUUCACAAACUGCAGCUCCCAGAAUUCUUUGGGGGAAGCCAUCACUGUUUAACGUAGUAGUAGUAGUAAUAAUAAUAAUAAAUUUUAUUUAUAUCCCGCCCUCUCCAGCCAUAACCAGGCUCAGGGCGGCUAACAUCAAAAUAUAAAUACAUUAAAACAUAAAAUUCAGCAAUCGAUUGAAAUACAGCUUAAAAUUGGAUUAAAAUCAAGUAAGAUCAGAAGGCAAUCGUCAAAUUAUGACUAUAGGGGUUAGGUACUCACUAGGCUCAGCUAUUUAUAUGAGCCAGUGAGAGAAGUUAGAGAAGCCUCUUAUAUAUAGGGUCUUUUAGGAGGAGAGAGGUCAGACUGGGCCCCGACCAAAGGCCUGGCGGAACAGCUCCAUCUUGCAGGCCCUGUGGAAAGAUGUCAAGUCCCACAGGGCCCUGGUCUCUUGUGGCAGGAUGUUCCACCAGGCUGGGGCCAGGGCCAAAAAGGCCCUAACUCUGUUUGAGGCCAGUUUAACCUCCUUGAGACCUGGGACCUCCAAGAUGUUAUUGUUUGCGGACCAUAGGGUCCUCCACGGGGCAUACCAGGAGAGGCGGUCCUGUAAGUAUGAGGGUCCCAGGUCAUAUAGGGCUUUAAAAGUUAGAACCAGCACUUUAAACCUGACCCUGUACUCCACCAGGAGCCAGUGCAGCUGAUGUAGCACUGGAUGGAUAUCACAAAGUAGUAUCACAAAGCUUUAAAUGGGCAUUGUGAAUGUAGCCACUUUCUGCUUCUGCCAUCAGUCAAGGGACCUGGGGCCACUGGGAAGCUGCACACCCUGUCUCCCCAGGAAUAAUGUCAAGGCAAAGGAGAGAUCAACCUAGCACCAUCUAUUGGCAAGAGCAGGAGCAGAUAAAUGGAGCUUGCCAUUCCUCAUCCCUGCUAUAAAGAACAUUCUGCUCCAGCUGCCAGUUGACUGCUAAAGCAAAAGGAAAGAACAUUCUGGCCCCAUCUAUCGUCUAGAGGAACAAGAGUCACCAAAUGCUAUUCAAGCAAGAACAUCAGCAAGGGAAGGUCAACCUGUCGUGAACAGGAUAUCAAUGCCCACUACUCAACAGGCUCAAUUCUAUGCCACCAACGGUUCAGGACCUGCUCUUGGACAGGAAUGAUCAAAUUACUUUAAUAGUGGCUGAAUUUUUGAGUGCUGUCCAUGUAGAAAGACUGGGCCAUUAUAAAGAGAUUUAGUGGUUCUUAAUUGUUCGGUGAUGUGGUAGUGUUAUAUUGUAUUAUUUAUGCAAAUUGAUUUUCUCUGGAGUUAAAGAUCUGACUGGGA